rnacentral:rRNA from 1 species
CCUACGGGAGGCAGCAGUGGGGAAUAUUGCACAAUGGGGGAAACCCUGAUGCAGCGAAGCCGCGUGAGUGAAGAAGUAUUUCGGUAUGUUAAGCUCUGUCAGCCGGGAAGAAAAUGACGGUACCUGAACAAGAAGCCCCGGCUAACUACGUGCCAGCAGCCGCGGUAAUACGUAGGGGGCAAGCGUUAUUCGGAUUUACUGGGUGUAAAGGGGGCGUAGGCGGGAAUGCAAGUCUGGAGGGAAAGGCGGGGGCUCAACCCCCGAACUGCUCUGGAAACUGGCGGGCGGGAGUGCAGGAGAGGUAAGUGGAAUUCGUAGUGUAGCGGUGAAAUGCGUAGAUAUUAGGAAGAACACCGGUGGCGAAGGCAGCUUACUGGACUGUAACUGACGUUGAGGCUCGAAAGCGUGGGGAGCAAACAGGAUUAGAUACCCUUGUAGUC